CCAGCUCCAAGCCCCACAGAACCAAAAAGCUCACCUGGGCAUUGGUCCUGCACCCACUGAACUGAGAGCAGGAACUAGAAACAGGACAGCAUUCCUGGGGUCAGCUGGAAAGAAACUCCCUUGGUCUUUUCCUCUAUCAGCAAUUCCUGAUAGUUCUCUUCCUACAUAUCUUGUGGUCUGACCACUUUUCUUCAUGCCUACUGCCAUUCAGAGAUCAUCUCUUUGUUAGAUGGUUUCCCUGUCUCCAGGCCCCACCCCACCCAUUCUAGAAUGCAAAUUUGAUUAUUAAAACAUGUGGCUUCCCUUUUUCCCCAGAAUAAAGUACAAACACUUUAACAAGGCUUCCAUCACCUGGCCCCUUCCCACUCCAAUCUUUUCUCACUCCGUCUUCCAACCAUCUUCAAAUAUGAUCUGUUCCUUUACCACACCAGGCUGCCUCUUACCUCCGGGGCUUUUUACAGAUAGAAACAACUUAAUGGACAUUCUGAACUCAACACAGUCUUGACAUGGUUUUAACCAAUGUCUUCCACUGUACUUGGUCAGUUCUCCCUUUCCAGCUCUGACAGAUUCUGUAGCGUUCUGUUCACUUAGUUAUUAAAAGUCUAGACUAGUGUCAACCGCAUCAAUUCAACACCAACAGGAAUUCCAAGUUUGGGGUGCAGUGAAGAAGGAAAUGUUUUCAGUGCAAACAACUCAAUUGUGACACAGCAUGGCUGUGAAAAUACAUGACUGUGGAACAUAUCAGUUGUGAUACAACGCAGCUGUGAAAAUAGCAUUGCUGUUAGGAGGCCCUGGGGACAGAUGUCUGCUUCUCCAACUAGACAGUUCUGCUGUGCUCUGUGCCAGUCUAGUCUAGUCUGCUCUGCUCUGCUCUGCUCUGGAGAGACAUCUUCAGUGUUAUAUCUUCGGUGUUUCAGCUCUACUCAGGUAACUGCAGUCUUCAGUUUAUAGUGGAAAGGGAAAGUGUACUUUUAGAGCCAGAGGGGAGCUUACACAUAAGUCCCUGCCCAAACUGGUCCCUGAUUGGUCUAUCCUAAUGCAAAUAAGGACUCCAAGUCCUUGCAGUUUUAUUGACCCAAAAGGCAUUGUCCUAAUUGGUCAGAAUGGAGCUGCUUUGAUUGGUUAUUGAAGAAGUUGCUGGUAGCUGCACAAUUCCAGUUGGAUGGGGAAAGCCUCAAUCUUAUUGGUUGAAAUAGGAUUCCAGGAAUUCCUUUAUAAGGGCUGACUCAGAUGACAGUGCAGGCUGGCAAUUAAGUUCAGGCUUCUCCCUGAAGUGCAGUUUGCGUGAGAGGUCCCUGUGUAGAAAUGGCUGCUAGACUCUGUUUUUUUGUUUUGGUUGAGGGGGGAGCUUUUUUGCUUGUUUGUUUUUUGAAUCUGAGCCCAGUUAAGCCACCAGGAAUUCAUCUUGGUAGAUACCUUUUUAUCUCAGGGUCCACGCUAGUGUAGUCCACUUUAAAACUUCAACCUCACAUCAAGUUUUAAGGUCCUUACUUCCCCUCAACACCAACCAGGCCUCAGCAGUGGAACUUUGUUUGGGGAACGGGUGCAUUCUGACUUUUCAUAGAAAGAAGUCUCUCUUUCCCUAAUUUAAACUACUUCUUGUUUUGGAAUCUGGAGGAUGGAUUAGGGAGGGUGAAGGAACAUGGGCAAAAACUCCUUUUAUUAACUGGUCAUGUCAUUGCAGUCAUCUGUUGGUUGUGUGUCUCUCAGGCUAAGACAAACUGGUCAUGGACACCUUCCAUUUUGAAGCUGCCCAAAUGUUAGCUUUAAUGGGCACAUGGGUUAGUGUCCCAAGAGCUCUCCCCUUUGCACAAUCCUCAGAUGGGAAAUCUGCUCCAACUUAACUGCUUCCACAAGCCCUUAGGUCCUUCUCUUGGCAGUUUAACUAAGCUUCCCUGACUGCCAGUUUUCUUGGGACAAAAAUAACAUGGCUCAAACCCUGUUGAUUCCCACACUGUUUAUUUGACUUACAGGAAGUUCACAUCCUUGCUAAACCAAAUUGUAAGAGUGACAGCUCUUUCCUUGUCAACCCUCCCACCUUGCUCCAAUGAUCAGCAAGCUUGUCCAAGCAAGAACUGAGAUGUCAGUCUCUCCUUGCCAAACCACAAAUUGUUAUGAGUGGUUCUCUUGGAGACCUCUCACUUGGAGGUAAGGACAAAAUGCACAGCACUCAAUCCCUCGACUGGUGACAGACACAUGACUUCGUCAAUCCCCCUUCUGUUUUUACCUCCACACCAUCUUCUGUUUAUUUCACAUGGAGGUAAAAAAUGGGAUAUGAUGUAGAACUGACCUACCAUCUCUCGGUGGUACCUCUCAGUUAGGUGUCCGGGGUAUCAGAUGAGUCCUACUUCACAAAUGUUGUUUCCUUUGCCCAGAACACUUUGUCACACACCUUGACACCUCUCCUUUUUCCCUUUUCUAUGACUAGCUCCUCCCCAUCUUUUAGGUAUCAACGUAGAUAUCAUCAUUACCAGGAAGAAAUCCUAACAUUGCCAAGCCUAUGGCAGGAGACUGAUCUGUCACUUCUAAAGCUCCCGGUGCCUCCCUCAUCAUAGCACAUACCGAAUUAUGCUCUAAAUGAUUCUUGAUAGUCUGUCUUCCCUCAUGAGACUAAGCCCCACAAGGGCUGGAACAGUGUCAGCUUUACUCAUCUCUGUACUCAUAGUGCCUCACACACAGAAAACACUCAGUAUGUUGGAUAAACACAUGAACAAAUGAUUCUUAUGGUUUCGGGCUACAGUCUGUGUGAUUUGAAAAAGCCUAGGAUCCUGCUGAAAUUGCCACUGCCCUGGCUUCCUCCAGUACCCUGAGAACUAUUGAGCUUUGUAUAUCAGAUUAUGUUGGUGGGACAUCUUUGAAAUGUCUAAAGUGCUGUAUUAGAAUCUGUACUUCUAUAAAUUAGUUUUAUUUAAUCAACCUAUCCUGUAAGCAUACUCAGAGUUUGCAAAAGAGGAAGUUGUGAGAUAACCGAAGAUGGGUAAUUACCCUAAACUUUUUGCUCCAGUCCUCACAAGCCCAGAUCCCUUUCCCAGUUGAUUAAAAGUUUGAUUCUAUCCUGUAGGAGUUCCCUUUUCACUGUUUGACUGGAAUUUAAGGGGAGUUAUGGCUUCUCCUACUAGAGCCUCUGCACGUGAUAUUCAUUCGUUUGUUCAACAAACUGCUGUUAACUGACCUAGAAGGGCUUUGGGAGCUUUAAUGUAUAUCCACCUGGGGCCCUUCAGGUUCAUAGAGGCAGGAUGGGAGAUGAACAGCCUCACUAAAGUAAGGAUAUUCCUAUCCUCAGACACUAGGUAGAUUUCCUAGGAGCCAGAGCCAUUCCUUCCUUCCUUUCCCUCCCAGUCCACACCCCACAAUGAAGCAAAAAGGAAAAGUUGUGCCAUAGGCUUAAGGAAAAAUGCCCUCUGGGUUUAGGAGCCCUAAGAUAAAAGAGGAUAUUGUUUCCAGGGAACAGUUCCAGACAUAAGAUCCUCCCAUAUCCCCUGUCCUGAGAGGUCCUUUCUCUUCUUUAAAAUGGAAUAGAAUUUUUGUCUGAAGAACCACGUUCCUGGAUUAACUAAAACAUGAAUUUACUCAGAAUAGCACAUUCAGCUGUUCAAAUGCAUAUAUUGGGCAAUGUUUCUACGUGAGUUCUUGUGUAUCCUACAGUAAGGGCACAGUCCCUGCCUUCAAGUUACAACUAGUAAGGGAGGGAAGAUUAAGUACUAUGAUAGAAUUAUCCAUUUGUGGCCUGGAUGUUGUGGAGGUCAGGGUCUUAAAGAAUAUAAAACUGGCUUAGUCUGGAAGUAGAAGUGGACCGAGCAGAAGAUUAGGAGGGGAGAAAUGCAGGAUUCCAGGCGUUGCAGGCAGAGUGAACGCCAGGGACGGAGGCCAGGAGAUAACAGAAGCAAACCUUUGCUGAGCUCUGAGCCUGUACUUCACAAGUAUUACCUGAUUUGAUUCCCACAACAACCCUUUGAAAUAUGUAUUGUGAUAAACCCCAUUUUAUAGAUGAAGAAACUGAGGCAUGGAGAAGUUAAGUAAAUAUUUUGAACAAGAUCACAGCUUACUUACUGAUGAAGCCAAGAUGCAAACCAGGAAGUUUGAGGACAGAGCCUCUGCCCUUCACCACUUGGCUACCAGGGGUACAAGUGAUUAUAUUUAAGACCCACUCUGAUGAUCUAGGAUAAGCUGCUCCUCUCCAGAGCCUUAAUUACAUCUUUCGCUGUAUAAGGCUCAACAGCAAGAUGGAGGUGACAGAGGAAUCAGUGAACUUGAAGACAGAACAAUAUAAAUGACUCAAGCUGAACAGUAAAUUGGUCACUCUACUGGUCCUGGUCUAUAAAGUAACCAAAGACAAGGCAACAAGAACAGAGAAGAAAGGAGCCAACACUGCCGGCAUGAAAGUACAGUUCUCGGUGGAGACAGCACUGAGGUGAAGAUCUGGAGACCCAAGAGGCAGGGCCAUCUUGGAGCCGUCUUAGAGCCUAGAGCCUGGGAACGAAAAGCAGCUUUAGCCACCCAAUUCCCCCAAUGCCAGAUGCUUCCCCCGGGC